rnacentral:rRNA from 1 species
UACGUAGGGUGCAAGCGUUAAUCGGAAUUACUGGGCGUAAAGCGUGCGCAGGCGGCUUUGCAAGACAGAUGUGAAAUCCCCGGGCUCAACCUGGGAACCGCAUUUGUGACUGCAGGGCUAGAGUACGGUAGAGGGGGAUGGAAUUCCGCGUGUAGCAGUGAAAUGCGUAGAUAUGCGGAGGAACACCGAUGGCGAAGGCAAUCCCCUGGACCUGUACUGACGCUCAUGCACGAAAGCGUGGGGGGCGAACAGG